CCUACGGGAGGCAGCAGUCGGGAAUAUUGCGCAAUGGAGGAAACUCUGACGCAGUGACGCCGCGUAUAGGAAGAAGGUUUUCGGAUUGUAAACUAUUGUCGUGAGGGAAGAAAUUGACAGUACCUCAGGAGGAAGCUCCGGCUAACUAUGUGCCAGCAGCCGCGGUAAUACGGAGGAUGCGAGCGUUAUCCGGAUUUAUUGGGUUUAAAGGGUGCGUAGGCGGAUUUUUAAGUCAGCGGUAAAAUGUCCGGGCUCAACCCGGGCCGGCCG
rnacentral:rRNA from 1 species